UUCUUUCCCCUCGUUCAUCUCCGCCGCUUCGUUGCUCUCCAGAUCUCAUCUCCUCUCCCCUUCCAUUUUUCUUUUCUUUUCUUUGUUCCUUUGUUCCUUUUUGUUGUUUUUUAUUUGGUCCUUUUUCCUCUGUUUUUCCUUCCCGUUUCCCCCCUCCCACCUUUUCCCUUUCUUCUCUUUCCUUUUUUUUUUUCAAUUAUAUGAUUCUAACUGAUAUUUUUCCCUUGUUAGAGUUGGUCUGGAUAUGAAGCUCCUAAACGCACGAGACUCUGGCAGCUUCAUCCGCGAAGCUACUUGUAUAUGUGGAGAAUCAGAGUCCGAGAGACAAGCAUACCAGUACCGGUUUUUGGUGCCAAGCUCCGACAACAAGACCUGCUGCUGCCCGGAGUAGACCGGAAAUUCGUUUUCUUGGAUACCUGAACAAGCAUGCCAAUUUUGGUUAUUCAUCUUCACUUUCACUUUCCUUUCAUCGGAAAACCAUUCACCCCAUUUCUUCUGUCCCUGCUCUGUCAGAGUAUUAUGUUUGCAGGAAAAAGAUGACAACUUUUAUGGGAUGCAAAUGCAAGUACUUGUGGAUAUAUUCCAUCCUUUUCUGUCCUCCAAAGAGUGAGGAAGAAAAGGAAGAACAACCUCUGUGAGGUUUGUGGAGGAUGGCAAAAAAUUGUGGUAAAACUCCUACUCCUAUUUUUUUCACCGUACUUUGGGCCUUUGGUUUUUAGAUUUUAAUAUUCUUCUUUUAAAUACUAGCUUUGAGUGAAUCCUUUUACCUGUCAAAAUGAAAUCUGCCAAAAUUAUACCAAGUGCAUCUGUUAAAUCAGAAGUUAAAUGAUAAAUAACAUUAACUAAUAUGGAACAACAGGGUCGAGGUUAAGACUUUUCACUUUCACUUUUGCAGAGAAGUCUAAAGAUUUUCCGAAGAAACCUCUAAACUGGUUCAGGAAUCAUUUUUUGCUCAGUUAAAAGUUGCAUCCUGUUGUUCUUUUCUUGUUUUUUCACUGAAUAUGGGACCUGGUCUUCAUGCAAUUUCUGUCUCUGCAUCUUUUAGGACAAGUCAAUAUUUCUAAAGUAGUAUAUGUUUGAGAGUAAGACUAGAGAGAUGAUUGUCUACACAACCGAAAGUACUUUGCCAUUGAAAUUUCUCAGGGAUAAAUUUUUCCCCAUCAAAUUUUUAUCUCGGGCCUUUUCUUUUUUCUUUCUUCUUUUUCUGGUAUCCACUACAGGAAGAAGCAAUCUUUAUUUGUGGUCCAGGAAUAAACAAAUGGUGAAGAUAGCCUUUAAGUGAGAAUAUCUUAAACUAGGUGACUUGGUUGAGCAGAUAUUGUGCACAUCCGUAUUUGGAACUCCAUAGCAUGUAUAAACUUGUUGAAAAAAGGAUGAGAGGCAUUGGUAGUAUGAGGAGGGACGUAAAAGAAAAGAAGAAAGGUGUGCAAAAAAGUGCAAGUUGAAAUACUGAUACUGAAAUCAUUAUGGUCAUUACUGUAAUGAUUAAAAUGUUAAGAAAAAGCUAGAGAGUGAGUUUCAAGAAAAGAUCCUCAGGUUACUUGGCGCUAAGAUAGGCAUUGGUCAUUUAAGUUUCCUAUUCUUUGGGAAAUUUACUAUUAUUUGACCAUUUCAAUAUUCUUUUACCAUACUAGAGCUACUGUGUUUGGUUGACUGUAUCAUUGAUAGCUAUUUAAUGUAACUUGUCUUUACUCCUCACAGCUAAAAUGGAUUGAUGAGGAUUUCCUGAGCUAUGACUUUGAGUUCAACAUUUUGCUGACUUGUUAAAUUUGUUAAGAGAAUUUUCUUCACUUUCCUUGGAAUAUGUUUCUGCUGCUCUAUGUGCAGGUUAUUAGUCAAGAUAUGGAGAUUAAAGGACCUCAUUUAAAACAUCUGACACUUCUUUAGGCUUUGUUGUUCUAGGCCCAAUAAGAUAUCUUUAUACUUACUGUUAUUUGAUUGUGUGGCUUGAGUUCAAAUUAAGUAAAUUAUUUGAGAGAAUGCUUAAUGAUUUGUUUGGCUUGCUUUGCUUAGCAAUGAGUAAAAGCCCGAAGAGUGGAAGAACUCUUACCGUUUCCCUUGCAUUAUCAUGAUUGAAGUGUCAUGCACCCCUAGAAUCAAGAUUGGAAUUAUUUCUCUGUCUGCCCUGCAUGGAUCUACAUUGAUUAUUUAUUAGCCUCGUUUUUUGAUACAUAUUAUUGUAGACAUUAUGUAUUAAAUAAGAGGUUUUGUUUGUAAAGAUAGUGACCAACUUUUGUUUCAA